UCGAACCCUCCUUCGAUCCCGGAGAACCCCUGCGUGUCGUCGUACACAUCCACUAUCAGUUUAGUUAUAUCGGAGGGCUCCUUCGGCGGUGGACCCCCGCCAGUCUGCCGCUUCCCCUUCUUGGCUAUUGAGUACUCUUUCUUUGCGACGCUAAAAAACGCCUUCCAUUUGGCCCUGACCUCAUCAGAAGUGCGAUCCGAGUUAUCUGCCAAUGAUGGUGCACAAGUCAAGAGUACAGUACCAGAGAUUAUAUGGAGUAAAUGAAGAGUCAAUGUUAUUUGCAUCAAUACGAUCUUUAGCAAAUUCUCCAGUACUGAUGCAGAAUCUUACAAACGCUACUAUACUUGCGGUAAAAUACCACUGAGUUUGUUUGACAGAGCUCUACUCACUUUAGAAUUUUAGCGCCGCUAAGCAAUUUAAAAAAUAUACAUGGCUGUAUAAAACUAACUUUCUAGGGCUGUUGAGCUCUGGAUAUAAUGGUGAUAAAACAUGUGCAGUGAUAAAGACAAUUACUAAAAGAAAGUGAAUAAUAGAAAAGUUUCAAAUGAAUUAAUAAGCAAUUUGUGUCUGAAUAUGUGUAUUCAUAAAUUUUGUCCAUAUGUUUUAUUAUACUGUAUGCUUGGUUUGUGCAUCUUCGUGAUCAUGUGAUAGGUUGGUUCAACAUCAGAGAGCGCCUAUUGUUUUAUGUGAUUUGAAGUUCGCAGGGUUUUCUAACCAUCCCCCUCUACUAACUAUGGCUAAACUUACCUGCUUACAACGUUGUAACACUUUGUCUGCAUCCUUUUCAUUUAAAUGAGAUUUCAAAAGUUUAUGCAGCUGAUUCCAGAAAUUGGAGCCAGCAUAAUUUUUCUGAGAAGAUCCAGGCUGAGAAGACAGCUUUUUUAUAGACAGAUACAACUUGCUUCCAUCUCCAAUCAAAUACUCAUC